rnacentral:tRNA from 1 species
GAGGGUACAGCUCAGUGGUAGAGUGUGUGCUUAGCAUGCACAAGGUGCUCGGUUCAAUCCCCAGUACUUCCA